rnacentral:rRNA from 1 species
GACGAACGCUGGCGGCGUGCUUAACACAUGCAAGUCGAACGGAAAGGCCCUGCUUUUGUGGGGUGCUCGAGUGGCGAACGGGUGAGUAACACGUGAGUAACCUGCCCUUGACUUUGGGAUAACUUCAGGAAACUGGGGCUAAUACCGGAUAGGAGCUCCUGCUGCAUGGUGGGGGUUGGAAAGUUUCGGCGGUUGGGGAUGGACUCGCGGCUUAUCAGCUUGUUGGUGGGGUAGUGGCUUACCAAGGCUUUGACGGGUAGCCGGCCUGAGAGGGUGACCGGCCACAUUGGGACUGAGAUACGGCCCAGACUCCUACGGGAGGCAGCAGUGGGGAAUAUUGCACAAUGGGCGGAAGCCUGAUGCAGCAACGCCGCGUGCGGGAUGACGGCCUUCGGGUUGUAAACCGCUUUCGCCUGUGACGAAGCGUGAGUGACGGUAAUGGGUAAAGAAGCACCGGCUAACUACGUGCCAGCAGCCGCGGUGAUACGUAGGGUGCGAGCGUUGUCCGGAUUUAUUGGGCGUAAAGGGCUCGUAGGUGGUUGAUCGCGUCGGAAGUGUAAUCUUGGGGCUUAACCCUGAGCGUGCUUUCGAUACGGGUUGACUUGAGGAAGGUAGGGGAGAAUGGAAUUCCUGGUGGAGCGGUGGAAUGCGCAGAUAUCAGGAGGAACACCAGUGGCGAAGGCGGUUCUCUGGGCCUUUCCUGACGCUGAGGAGCGAAAGCGUGGGGAGCGAACAGGCUUAGAUACCCUGGUAGUCCACGCUGUAAACGGUGGGUACUAGGUGUGGGGUCCAUUCCACGGGUUCCGUGCCGUAGCUAACGCUUUAAGUACCCCGCCUGGGGAGUACGGCCGCGAGGCUAAAACUCAAAGGAAUUGACGGGGCCCCGCACAAGCGGCGGAGCAUGCGGAUUAAUUCGAUGCAACGCGUAGAACCUUACCUGGGUUUGACAUGGAUCGGGAGUGCUCAGAGAUGGGUGUGCCUCUUUUGGGGUCGGUUCACAGGUGGUGCAUGGCUGUCGUCAGCUCGUGUCGUGAGAUGUUGGGUUAAGUCCCGCAACGAGCGCAACCCUUGUUCACUGUUGCCAGCACGUUAUGGUGGGGACUCAGUGGAGACCGCCGGGGUCAACUCGGAGGAAGGUGGGGAUGACGUCAAGUCAUCAUGCCCCUUAUGUCCAGGGCUUCACGCAUGCUACAAUGGCUGGUACAGAGAGUGGCGAGCCUGUGAGGGUGAGCGAAUCUCGGAAAGCCGGUCUCAGUUCGGAUUGGGGUCUGCAACUCGACCUCAUGAAGUCGGAGUCGCUAGUAAUCGCAGAUCAGCAACGCUGCGGUGAAUACGUUCCCGGGGCU